CGGAUUUGGCGGCAAGAUAGCUUUUUAGAGGAACCUGCCCUGUGAACGAUGAUCCACGAGAGCCUUACUUUAUUUUGAAAUCAGUUUGUAUACCGCUGUUGUCAGUUAGAUUUUUGAGAAUAUUUUCUUUUUGGUAAAGCCAAUGACUUCAAGUAAAGGUGCAGCUUAUAGUAAAGUUAGAGGUGGGUUACAUUUAUAAGAAUAAGACGGAUUAAGGAUUUAAUUGACUUAUGAAGGUGGAUUUAACUGUAAA
rnacentral:rRNA from 1 species